UACAGAGGGUGCGAGCGUUGUUCGGAAUUAUUGGGCGUAAAGCGCAUGUAGGCGGUCUGUUAAGUCGCGUGUGAAAGCUUCCAGCUCAACUGGAAAAGUGCGCGCGAAACUGGUGGACUUGAGUGCUGGAGAGGGUGGCGGAAUUCCCGGUGUAGAGGUGAAAUUCGUAGAUAUCGGGAGGAACACCAGAGGCGAAGGCGGCCACCUGGACAGACACUGACGCUGAGACGCGAAAGCGUGGGGAGCAAACAGGG
rnacentral:rRNA from 1 species